AACUUUGUUCAAAUUAAAGUUCUGAAACUCAGUUAAAGAUGGUUUCCCACGAAGCAUUUAAAACUUUGGGAUAUUUUUACGCAAUUUUGGGAAUUUCAAUUCUGGGAGUGGUGUCAUCCGGCGUGCUUAUUGCAAUGAAUACUGUCAAUAAACCUUCAAACAGUAAUUAUUAUCAGGAUAUUCCAACAAGUUUGGUUACGCUCGUAUUUUUUCUUAUACUCUUUGCUGGAAUUUAUCAUAAAAACAUCGUUAUUGUUAAAAUAUACAAAGUAUUUCUCAUCAUUUCAAGUAUUUUGAUCCAACUUGUAAUCGUUGCAAAUAUAGGUUUCACGAUUUUCUACGAACAAAUAACAGAAAACAGUACAACGUUCUUACUUGCAUUGAUUGCAGGGCUCGCCGUAUUUACAGGGCUCUUCCUGUUGUUUCUGUGGAUUGUAAACGGUGUGAUUGGGUACAUUGAGGAUGGAGUAGAACUGAAAGAUUCUGAACCGAGACUAACCGACGAAAAUGAUCAGCAGAUGAGGGUUAAAUACGAAGCUGUUUUG